GACGAACGCUGGCGGCGUGCUUAACACAUGCAAGUCGAACGGUGAAGGGACCAGCUUGCUGGUUCUGGAUGAGUGGCGAACGGGUGAGUAACACGUGAGUAACCUGCCCCCUUCUUCUGGAUAACCGCAUGAAAGUGUGGCUAAUACGGGAUAUUCUGGGUCUGUCGCAUGGCGGGCCCGGGAAAGAUAUUGCUUCGGUGGGGGAUGGGCUCGCGGCCUAUCAGCUUGUUGGUGGGGUGAUGGCCUACCAAGGCGGUGACGGGUAGCCGGCCUGAGAGGGGGGACGGUCACACUGGGACUGCGACACGGCCCAGACUCCUACGGGAGGCAGCAGUGGGGAAUAUUGCACAAUGGGCGCUAGCCUGAUGCAGCGACGCCGCGUGAGGGAUGGAGGCCUUCGGGUUGUAAACCUCUUUCGCCAGUGAAGCAGGCCUGCUCCUUGUGGGUGGGUUGACGGUAGCUGGAUAAGAAGCGCCGGCUAACUACGUG
rnacentral:rRNA from 1 species